GACGAACGCUGGCGGCGUGCUUAACACAUGCAAGUCGAACGAUGAAACCUAGCUUGCUAGGUCGAUUAGUGGCGAACGGGUGAGUAACACAUGACUAACCUGCCCCUUUCUCUGGGAUAACGCUCCGAAAGGAGUGCUAUUACCGGAUACUCACACCGAGGCACAUGCCUUGGUGUGGAAAGUUUUGAGGAAAGGGAUGGAGUCGCGGCCUAUCAGCUGGUUGGUGAGGUAACGGCCCACCAAGGCGACGACGGGUAGCCGGCCUGGGAGGGCGACCGGCGACACUGGGACGGAGACACGGCCCAGACUGCUACGGGAGGCAGCAGUGGGGAAUAUUGCACAAUGGGCGCAAGCCUGAUGCAGCGACGCCGCGUGAGGGAUGAAGGUCUUCGGAUUGUAAACCUCUUUCAGUAGGGACGAAGCGAAAGUGACGGUACCUAAAGAAGAAGCACCGGCUAACUACGUGCCAGCCGCCGCGGUAA
rnacentral:rRNA from 1 species